GCAGUUCCUGGUACAUGUGUUUUUAUAGCGACCAACCAGGUGAAAUUGAAAGAGUUACAAUCAUCUGUCUUCUGCUUUGAUUGAUGACUAGAUAAUGUGUUGUCAGAUGCUGAAUGUCAUGUUUUUCUUGAGCCUGGUUGGCCAAUAAGUUUAACUGGGGUUGGCUAAGAUAAUCCUGCCAAAAGAUGUCAAACCAGUAGAUGGUUCAUGUAAGACAGUUAAAAAUAUUGUUUUGGGAAUCUUGUAGGUACUGUACAUCUACAGAUAGGAGGGCUUACGAGGCAGGGCGCAAUAGUACGUAAGAUUACUUUAAAAAUAUACAUAUGAGGAGGUAUAAUCAUAACUCACUCUCAUCUCAAAUGGAAGAUCAGCUACAGACUCAUCAUCAGAGUUGACUCACAAGACUAAAGAGCUGAUGGAAUGUUUAGCAGGUAUAAAUGCAGUUCUUAGAGGAAGCAGUAGACUAGAAGGACCUGGCAGAGACAGAGAGACAAGAAGCUUUCAGAGGUUUUCACACACAUCUCAAGAUAGCACUGUGGGUAACUACUCAACUAACUCAAUUGAAAAUGUGCACUUGUAUUUAAUGCAUAAUACUGGUGUGGGAAAUGUUAUGAAGUUAAUACUCAUUAUCUCUUGGUACUUUGGGCACAAACAUUUUGGCCCUUUUGCCACUAAAUUUAAAUUCAAUGAUCUGACAUUAUUUUAACGUGACAGUAGCUUAACACUGCAAGAGUGAUUGUAGUAAACAAGAGUAGGUUCAACUUUUUAGAGCUGUUUUAUAACAUUUCACAUUCAACAAUGGUUUGUUGUUUGUUACAUCACAAUUUAAAAGGUUAUUUUCUUUUCCCUCCUAGGAAACACUGACCUGACAGGUAAAAUGACUUAUUUGUUUUGACAAACUACUAUGAAAAACAUUAUUAACUAUGUUUUUUUCAAGUUUUCCAUUAAAUGAAACGGAGUGAGAGUGAAAUUGACUGAAAUUAAAGGUCUUAAGUGUUGAUGCCUCACUUUUGCAGAAUGUUCUUAAUCCUGGUUGUCACAAUGUUCUUGGCUGGCGGCUUGCUUUGCGUGAGUUAUAAAAUACAAUUUGAAUUAUAAUGAUAAAUAAUAGCUUUUGUGCUUUCACCAAUUGUCCUUUUCAGUUAGACAAGGAGUUCUUCUUUGAGACAUAAACUAAUGUAUUAAAUCAUUGCAGAAUGUACUUUAUUAAUUCAUCUGCACUUUUCAAAUUUAAAGAUCUUUCAAAAGUGUUGUUAAAAAUAAAAUGAUGUAUAUAAAAAAUGUAUUAUUAAUAUAGUAAAUAUAGUAAACAUUUGGCCAUGUUAUUUUAGCCAUCAAAGACCCCUACUCGUAUUCCUCUGGCUGGGUCAGGGAGGUGGCACCCCAUUUGCUUCCUACGGUGAGGGACGCAUCACGGGAGUCAGAGUGUGGGAGACAACAACAAACACACUACUACCUAACUACUACUACAACUACAACAGCAACAACACAUCAGCGGGUGAGCAGACCCGGACAUGCACUGACUCAGUCCAACUACACUACCCAACAAACACCACUGACUCAGUCCCAACUACACUACACCCACAAACACCACUGACUCAGUCCACUACACUACACUACCCAACAACAACACUGACUCAGUCCAACUACAAACCACUGAUCAGUCCAACUACACCACUGACUCAGUCCAACUACUACACUACCCAACAAACACCACUGACUCAGUCCAACUACACUACCAACAAACACCACUGACUCAGACACUACACACCACCCAACAAACACCACUGACUCAGUACUAACUACACCACUGACUCAGUCCAACCACCAACGACUCAGUCCAACUACACUACCCAACAAACACCACUGACUCAGUCCAACUACACCUACCCCAACAAAACACAACUGACUCAGCAACUACACACCCACAAACCCACUGAUCAGUACAACACAACCACUGACUCAGUCCAACUACACAACUGACUCCAGUCCAACUACACUACCCACACAACACCACUGACCAGUCCAACUACACUACCCAACAAACACCACUGACUCAGCCAACUACACUACCCACAAACACCACUGACUCAGUACAACUACAAACACCACGACUCAGUCCAACUACACCAACGACUCAGUCCAACUACACGACCCAACAACACUCUUUCAUCUUUCUUUCUUUGUUGUGUUUAUACAUAUUCAGUUUAUGACCAAACAAUAUUGUUAUCUAUCUAACCAGAGUACAAUGUAAAGAAUUCCUUGAUAUUCUCUGACGCUACCUGCGGUCUCGGUCUAAUGUGCCUUAUCAAACACAACCAACGUGAAAAGCUUCCUCUGUUUUAGGUUCCACCGAGAUACGGAAACACCUGGUCUCCUUUUUUCGGUAACGAAGGGAGUGUAAAGCAGGUGAUGGAGCUGUUUAAUGAUGAGGCCAUCGUCGAGGUGUCUGGGAGUACAACCCACAGACUACAUCUGCUACCUGUGGUUAACACCAACAUGGGGCGCACUCGGUCAGCCGGCUGCCCAACCAAAUCUCCUUCAACUUCUACCCAACCAACAUGGGCAAUGAGCUGAGAUCCUCAGCGGUCGCUUCAAUGGGGCCGGGAUCACCUCCAUCGGAGCCCACUGGGGAUUGGUGGACAUGGAAGGGGCUGGAAACAGUACUCUGGAAACAGUAACUCCUAUUUUUGGAGAAAAAAGUAUGUCUUGCUCUUUGGGAUGGUAUCCCGGAUACAGAUUAAGCUAAUCCUGGACUUUUACUUUCAAUGGAGAUUUCCCAUUCAACAUGCUUUUUAGUCCAGGAGUAAACUUAAUCUGGGUCCAGGAAACUGGUUUUAUAUGUUGGAGCGAUGUUUGACAUACGCUGAAAGAACUUUUUAUUUCACUAUCUACCUUCAUGAUAUUUGAAUGAAUUUGAAUGUUUUGAUACUUUGGAAGUAUUUGAGGUGAUUCCUCACUUGAAGCAGUACAAAUACUUAACAUUCAAAUUCAUCAGUUCAAAUUCUCAUGAAGCUCCAUAGAUAGGAAUAUUAAAACAGUCCUGUCAGCGUGGGUCACAGACCACAUGCGUGUUUACACAGUGUUUGAGGAUUCACAUUUAUAACAAUAAAGGACAGAAUCAAAAGGGAUUUAAAGGAUUAAUUAUAUCUUUGAUAAUGGAACAAUCAAAUAUAUGGGAGAUAAUAGCGUCCAGGGUUUUCACCUUCACUAUUUUAUACACGCUGCAUUUGUUAUUUGUGGUUCCUUUUCUGCUAUAUUCUGCUUCUGGACUUUUAUAAAAAGCAUAUCUUUAAUCAUUAAUUUCAUUGUAUUCCUUGAUA
rnacentral:lncRNA from 1 species